UGGGGAAUUUUGGACAAUGGGCGAAAGCCUGAUCCAGCCAUGCCGCGUGCAGGAUGAAGGCCUUCGGGUUGUAAACUGCUUUUGUACGGAACGAAAAGCCUCUUUCUAAUAAAGAGAGGUCAUGACGGUACCGUAAGAAUAAGCACCGGCUAACUACGUGCCAGCAGCCGCGGUAAUACGUAGGGUGCAAGCGUUAAUCGGAAUUACUGGGCGUAAAGCGUGCGCAGGCGGUUUUGUAUGACAGAGGUGAAAUCCCCGGGCUCAACCUGGGAACUGCCUUUGUGACUGCAAGGCUGGAGUGCGGCAGAGGGGGAUGGAAUUCCGCGUGUAGCAGUGAAAUGCGUAGAUAUGCGGAGGAACACCGAUGGCGAAGGCAAUCCCCUGGGCCUGCACUGACGCUCAUGCACGAAAGCGUGGGGAGCAAACAGGAUUAGAUACCCUGGGUAGUCCACGCCCUAAAGCGAUGUCAACUGGUUGUUGGGUCUUCACUGACUCAGUAACGAAGCUAACGCGUGAAGUUGACCGCCUGGGGA
rnacentral:rRNA from 1 species